rnacentral:rRNA from 1 species
AUUCCUACGGGAGGCAGCAGUGGGGAAUAUUGGACAAUGGGCGAAAGCCUGAUCCAGCGACGCCGCGUGGGUGAAGAAGGCCUGCGGGUUGUAAAGCCCUUUCGGUAGGGACGAAAGCUCUCGACCUAACACGUCGGGAGGUUGACUUAACCUACAAAAGAAGCACCGGCUAACUCUGUGCCAGCAGCCGCGGUAAUACAGAGGGUGCGAGCGUUAAUCGGAAUUACUGGGCGUAAAGCGCACGUAGGCGGCUUGGUAUGUCGGGUGUGAAAUCCCCGGGCUCAACCUGGGAACUGCACUUGUGACUGCAUGGCUAGAGUCCGUAAGAGGGGGGUGGAAUUCCACGUGUAGCAGUGAAAUGCGUAGAGAUGUGGAGGAACACCGAUGGCGAAGGCAGCCCCCUGGGAUGAGACUGACGCUCAUGUACGAAAGCGUGGGGAGCAAACAGGAUUAGAUACCCUGGUAGUCCACGCCCUAAACGAUGUCGACUAGUUGUCGGGUCUCUACAGACUUGGUAACGCAGCUAACGCGUGAAGUCGACCGCCUGGGGAGUACGGUCGCAAGGUUGAAACUCAAAGGAAUUGACGGAAU